rnacentral:rRNA from 1 species
GAGUUUGAUCGUGGCUCAGAUUGAACGCUGGCGGCAUGCCUUACACAUGCAAGUCGAACGGCAGCACGGGAGCUUGCUCCUGGUGGCGAGUGGCGAACGGGUGAGUAAUGCAUCGGAACGUAUCCUGGAGUGGGGGAUAACGUAGCGAAAGUUACGCUAAUACCGCAUAUUCUGUGAGCAGGAAAGCGGGGGACCUUCGGGCCUCGCGCUCUUGGAGCGGCCGAUGUCGGAUUAGCUAGUUGGUGAGGUAAAGGCUCACCAAGGCGACGAUCCGUAGCAGGUCUGAGAGGAUGAUCUGCCACACUGGAACUGAGACACGGUCCAGACUCCUACGGGAGGCAGCAGGUGGGUAAUUUUGGACAAGUGGGGGCAACCCUGAUCCAGCCAUGCCGCGUGAGUGAAGAAGGCCUCGGUUGUAAG